GGUAAAAAAAAGGUAAGCUACUAAGAGCGAAUGGUGGAUGCCUUGACUGGUAAAGGCGAUGAAGGACGUACUAGACUGCGAUAAGCUACGGGGAGCUGUCAAGAAGCUUUGAUCCGUAGAUUUCCGAAUGGGGCAACCCAAUGUAUAGAGAUAUACAUUACCUAUAUAGGAGCGAACGAGGGGAAUUGAAACAUCUUAGUACCCUCAGGAAAAGAAAUCAAUAGAGAUUGCGUCAGUAGCGGCGAGCGAAAGCGCAAGAGGGCAAACCCAGUGCUUGCACUGGGGGUUGUAGGACUGCAAUGUGCAAGAGCUGAGUUUAGCAGAACAUUCUGGAAAGUAUAGCCAUAGAGGGUGAUAGUCCCGUAUGCGAAAAACAAAGCUUAGCUAGCAGUAUCCUGAGUAGGGCGGGACACGAGAAAUCCUGUCUGAAUCCGGGUCGACCACGAUCCAACCCUAAAUACUAAUACCAGAUCGAUAGUGCACAAGUACCGUGAGGGAAAGGUGAAAAGAACUGAGGUGAUCAGAGUGAAAUAGAACCUGAAACCAUUUGCUUACAAUCAUUCAGAGCCCUAUGUAGCAAUACAGGGUGAUGGACUGCCUUUUGCAUAAUGAGCCUGCGAGUUGUGGUGUCUGGCAAGGUUAAGCAAACGCGAAGCCGUAGCGAAAGCGAGUCUGAAUAGGGCGCUUAGUCAGAUGCUGCAGACCCGAAACGAAGUGAUCUAUCCAUGAGCAAGUUGAAGCUAGUGUAAGAACUAGUGGAGGACUGAACCCAUAGGCGUUGAAAAGCCCCGGGAUGACUUGUGGAUAGGGGUGAAAGGCCAAUCAAACUUCGUGAUAGCUGGUUCUCUCCGAAAUAUAUUUAGGUAUAGCGUUGUGUCGUAAUAUAAGGGGGUAGAGCACUGAAUGGGCUAGGGCAUACACCAAUGUACCAAACCCUAUCAAACUCCGAAUACCUUAUAUGUAAUCACAGCAGUCAGGCGGCGAGUGAUAAAAUCCGUCGUCAAGAGGGAAACAACCCAGACUACCAGCUAAGGUCCCUAAAUCUUACUUAAGUGGAAAACGAUGUGAAGUUACUUAAACAACCAGGAGGUUGGCUUAGAAGCAGCCAUCCUUUAAAGAAAGCGUAAUAGCUCACUGGUCUAGUGAUUUUGCGCGGAAAAUAUAACGGGGCUAAAGUAAGUACCGAAGCUGUAGACUUGCGCACAACUUAGAUUAUUUAAGUUUAGAAUAUGAGAAACUAAGUUAUGUUUAGUUAUAUUUUUACUGAUUUUUAUAGAGUAAAGAUAGAAAUAAAACUUAGUAAAAUCAGUAAAAAUAUUCUUAGGCUAAAGUUAAGUAGUUUAAGUUGUGUGCAAGUGGUAGGAGAGCGUUCUAUUUGCGUCGAAGGUAUACCGGUAAGGAGUGCUGGAGCGAAUAGAAGUGAGCAUGCAGGCAUGAGUAGCGAUAAUUAAUGUGAGAAUCAUUAACGCCGUAAACCCAAGGUUUCCUACGCGAUGCUCGUCAUCGUAGGGUUAGUCGGGUCCUAAGUCGAGUCCGAAAGGGGUAGACGAUGGCAAAUUGGUUAAUAUUCCAAUACCAACAUUAGUGUGCGAUGGAAGGACGCUUAGGGCUAAGGGGGCUAGCGGAUGGAAGUGCUAGUCUAAGGUCGUAGGAGGUUAUACAGGCAAAUCCGUAUAACAAUACUCCGAGAACUGAAAGGCUUUUUGAAGUCUUCGGAUGGAUAGAAGAACCCCUGAUGCCGUCGAGCCAAGAAAAGUUUCUAAGUUUAGCUAAUGUUGCCCGUACCGUAAACCGACACAGGUGGGUGGGAUGAGUAUUCUAAGGCGCGUGGAAGAACUCUCUUUAAGGAACUCUGCAAAAUAGCACCGUAUCUUCGGUAUAAGGUGUGGUUAGCUUUGUAUUAGGAUUUACUCCGAAAGCAAGGAAACUUACAACAAAGAGUCCCUCCCGACUGUUUACCAAAAACACAGCACUCUGCUAACUCGUAAGAGGAUGUAUAGGGUGUGACGCCUGCCCGGUGCUCGAAGGUUAAUUGAUGGGGUUAGCAUUAGCGAAGCUCUUGAUCGAAGCCCGAGUAAACGGCGGCCGUAACUAUAACGGUCCUAAGGUAGCGAAAUUCCUUGUCGGUUAAAUACCGACCUGCAUGAAUGGCGUAACGAGAUGGGAGCUGUCUCAAAGAGGGAUCCAGUGAAAUUGUAGUGGAGGUGAAAAUUCCUCCUACCCGCGGCAAGACGGAAAGACCCCGUGGACCUUUACUACAGCUUGACACUGCUACUUGGAUAAGAAUGUGCAGGAUAGGUGGGAGGCUUUGAGUAUAUGACGCCAGUUGUAUAUGAGCCAUUGUUGAGAUACCACUCUUUCUUAUUUGGGUAGCUAACCAGCUUGAGUUAUCCUCAAGUGGGACAAUGUCUGGUGGGUAGUUUGACUGGGGCGGUCGCCUCCCAAAUAAUAACGGAGGCUUACAAAGGUUGGCUCAGAACGGUUGGAAAUCGUUCGU
rnacentral:rRNA from 1 species